UACGUAGGGUGCGAGCGUUAAUCGGAAUUACUGGGCGUAAAGCGUGCGCAGGCGGUUCGUUGUGUCGGCGGUGAAAGCCCCGGGCUCAACCUGGGAAUGGCCGUUGAAACUGGCGAACUGGAGUGUGGCAGAGGGGGGUGGAAUUCCGCGUGUAGCAGUGAAAUGCGUAGAGUUGCGGAGGAACACCGAUGGCGAAGGCAGCCCCCUGGGCUGACACUGACGCUCAGGCACGAAAGCGUGGGGAGCAAACAGG
rnacentral:rRNA from 1 species